UAAAUAAAGAUUUUUAAGAUCAUUUUAUCAAUGUAAAUGAUAAACUUUAAUUAGUUAUUUAUUU
rnacentral:tRNA from 1 species